rnacentral:rRNA from 1 species
UACGUAGGGUCCAAGCGUUGUCCGGAUUUAUUGGGCGUAAAGAGCUCGUAGGCGGUUUGUCGCGUCUGCUGUGAAAAUCCAGGGCUUAACCCUGGACCUGCAGUGGGUACGGGCAGACUAGAGUGCGGUAGGCGAGAUCGGAAUUCCUGGUGUAGCGGUGAAAUGCGCAGAUAUCAGGAGGAACACCGGUGGCGAAGGCGGAUCUCUGGGCCGUAACUGACGCUGAGGAGCGAAAGCAUGGGGAGCGAACAGG